GAGUUUGAUCCUGGCUCANGAUGAACGCUAGCGGCAGGCCUAACACAUGCAAGUCGAGGGGUAACAGGAGGUGCUUGCACCUUGCUGACGACCGGCGCACGGGUGCGUAACGCGUAUACAAUCUACCUUUUGCUGAGGGAUAGCCCAGAGAAAUUUGGAUUAAGACCUCAUGGUAUCAUAUUAUCGCCUGGUAAAAUGAUUAAAGGUUACGGCAAGAGAUGAGUAUGCGUCCUAUUAGCUAGAUGGUGUGGUAACGGCACACCAUGGCUACGAUAGGUAGGGGCCCUGAGAGGGGGACCCCCCACACUGGUACUGAGACACGGACCAGACUCCUACGGGAGGCAGCAGUGAGGAAUAUUGGACAAUGGGCGCAAGCCUGAUCCAGCCAUGCCGCGUGCAGGAAGACUGCCCUAUGGGUUGUAAACUGCUUUUAUACGGGAAGAAACCCACCUACGUGUAGGUGGCUGACGGUACCGUAAGAAUAAGGAUCGGCUAACUCCGUGCCAGCAGCCGCGGUAAUACGGAGGAUCCAAGCGUUAUCCGGAAUCAUUGGGUUUAAAGGGUCCGUAGGUGGAUAAUUAAGUCAGGGGUGAAAGUCUGCAGCUCAACUGUAGAAUUGCCUUUGAUACUGGUUAUCUUGAGUCAUUAUGAAGUGGUUAGAAUGUGUAGUGUAGCGGUGAAAUGCAUAGAUAUUACACAGAAUACCGAUUGCGAAGGCAGAUCACUAAUAAUGUACUGACACUGAUGGACGAAAGCGUGGGUAGCGAACAGGAUUAGAU
rnacentral:rRNA from 1 species